rnacentral:lncRNA from 7 species
AUUCCGUGCAGCCUUGCCAGCUGGUGAGCGGGCAGAGCGGCAGGCCAGAGGUGCGGGUCUGUGGAGCAGCUGCAGCCACAGCAGCGUCAGCUCUGCAUGCCAGAGCUGUCAGCGUUUGGCCGGAGCUGCUCCUGGUGUUCCUUCUCUACUAGAUUUUUCUCCUUCCAUAUCCACUUGUUGCCGUGGCCUGCGUUGGGUCUGUUCAUCAGACAUUUUCAUCUUCACUACUGUGGUUCAGGGGAAGAAUUUAGCAUUUUUUAUUUUUUAUUUUUUUACCUUUGCUCAGUAUGUUUUCCCUGAGCUACUACCAUCUUGAGGUAUUCCCAAGGGAUUACCCCCAUAGGGAUUACCCCCAUAGGGAUUAUCUCUGUCAUGCAACAGCACUACUGGAGCCAUAUGGAACAUACUGUUUCACAGAUGGGUCAGCCCUUACUUCUUUGCAGGGGCUUCCAAGACAACUCAGUGGCAGCACCUGUAUGUGUUUACAUUGUGCAAGUCUCUAUGAAAGGGGAUGUUUUUUCACCUGAGCACUUUCUGAACCAAAGGAAUUGGACAUCCAAUCAGAAUGAGGCCUGAGAUUAUGUAAGAGUUAAUGUGAAAGCCAGAAUCCCAACCUUUUAUCACUAUAAAUACAUAUGGAUUUUGAAGAUUUGUGAAAUGAUGGCACCUCAGAUUGGAAUGUGGACUACAAAAUGGCACCUCCCUUUGUAGGUUUGUGGGAAGGAGUCCCAGUCUUGAUCCUUCCUACUUCUGGGCAAUAAGUGAUUGGCACUGGAUCCAGUACUUCAUCCAUGACACUUUUGGUAUCCUGGCAUGGAAACUACGCAGCGCUGCCAUCUGGUAACUGGGAAGAGUGGCCUGCCAGAGGUCUGGUUCUUCGGAGCAGCUAUAGCCACAUCAGCAUCAUCUGUGCCUGCCAGAGUGAUCACCAUUUGUCCAUCCAAGUGGUAAGAAUCACUCUGUUGCGCAGUGCCUUUAGUCAACAGGAUUUGAAAAUAAAUUCAGUGUGUGGGGCGAACAGUGAGUUUUGGGGAGUGGUUCUUUGCUCCUGUCAAGACUGUAAAGUGGACAGUUUCUGCUCUCAGCUGAAAAAGGGAAAGAGCACAUGACCUGUAUGUCAUGACUGUAUUUAUGUAGUGUGGUAUACUCUUACGUGCAUAUACUCUUACGUGCAGGAGCUUUUUUUUUUUUUCAGGGUUUCAAGUGAAUGACAGGUCCCCAGGUAUUUCAGCAGGGACACGUGAAUUGCUAACUUUGCCUUCUGUGGCUCAAAGCCACUACUGAAUACGCAGGGUUCACUGCUGCUGCGCCUUCUGUAGAGCCAGCAAUCUAACAACAUGGCUCAAAGGUCCCAAGGGCAUAAUUAGGGAAUAUCUUGUCCUUUCCAUACAUGUGCUUCCCAGAGGAUUCACAUGUGUUUAAUUUCUGCACCCUGACAACUGUGUCCUUGUGGUUUCACCUGGCAGACAACUAAACACCAUACAGCUGCUUGCUCACUCUGCCCAUGUGGGUUAUGGGAGAGAACUGGCAAGGUAACUGUGGGAGAAUUCAGAGGGUAAGAUUAAGUCAUUUUAGGAGGCAGCUUCUGCAGCUGUAAUCAUCCUCCAGCCAUCUUACAUGGUCAGCCAAAGGCCCUGAGUCUAUUGUUAGGGACUAUCUUAUGACUUCCAUAGGUAUGCUUCAGGGGGGGAUAUACUUGCAUUUGAUUUCUACCUCUUGAUAGCUCUUUUUCAGUUACCAUCAUUUUUGUUCAACCUAGUAGACUGCACCACACCACACAAUCCUUUGUUUACCUGACUUUAUCAAGCAUUUAUCAGCUUCUCUGCAAUAAUUCAGUAAUUUCUGAUUUAGAAGUGAUUUUGUAUUUCAUUAUUGUAGAAUUGUAGUUGCUCUUUUUCCCUCCCAUGCAUUUAACACAUUGAAGCAAUUUUAUGCACAAGUUAUGUGUUUUCCAACCCGGCCUCUUUUGAAUUAUUUCUUAGUAAUUUGCAUGCAAUUAUAAUACUUCUGCUUAGUACCUCCUCUUGUACUCAAGCUCAGGGGAAGUGUCUUCACUGUCUCAAGGGUUUUGUGACCCAUGGCCAUGAUUUUUAAUAUUAUAGUGAAGGGAGUUCAGCUAAAGCUUCAGGGGCCUUGAGGUUUUUUUUUCAAGUUGCCAACAUCCUGAUUAUUUUCCUCCUUGGAGCUUAUUUACUCUGGGUUGUUGUUAAUUAAAUAUACUAAGUGUCUUAACACAUAAGAAGUACAAAGUGUUUGUAUUUGUAUUAUUUGUAUUAUUUGUACUAUUCAAACAUUUUUAGCUAAGUAUCAUAAGUUAUUUUUUAACAAUUCCUCCCCUUGAGACUUCUCUUACAAGAAAGGUUUGAUCAGUCUCAUUUUCUCUGAAGUUUAGUUAGUUAGCCUAGUGCAACACUUAAAUACACACUACAAUAUAACAUACAGUCAAACAAUAGCUGAUAUUACUAGAAAUGCAACUGUUAUGACCUUCCACAGCUGAUAUUACUAGAAAUGCAACUGCUAUGACCUUCCACAAUCUUAAAUGAGGGAAUCAGAAUGUUGGCCAUUUCCAUGUCUCUUCAAAUCCAAGAGAGUUAUCAUCUUUCUGGAUCUCAUGUAAAAUUCUAGUUUGUUGUCAGUAGUACAAUGUCAACUCCCUUCCACUUUUGUGUCGGCAGCUUUUCUUUCCAGGAGGAUAUACUUGACCGGCUAGCUUAAAUGGAGAUACAAGUGAAAUCAAAGGCAGAAGAGCUUUCAGUUGGAUGUACCUCUGGAGACAUGCAAGAAUUCUUUGCAAAGAUGCCAGCACCCCUCACAGGCAAAACAGUAUGAGAAGCUGAGAAACCAAAACGUCCUUGGCUCUGUGCAGUACUACUCAGCAACAACUAAAAUCAUGAGUGAUCAUGAGUUAUCGAAAUAUUCUCCUAAAGCAAAAAUAUCCCAGCUAAAACUAGGACAUGCACCCUUAUCUUCUUAGAAAACACCUUUCUUGAGAGGAGGUAGGUAGCAACAAAGCCAUGUUGAAAAGUCCAGUGAUGAUCAAGAAGACUUCAGGGCCUUGUGGAGAGGGAUAAAAGGAUCAAGAGCACAGGCAGUACUCCCUUCUACCCUUCAAGUUGUGGGGAGUGGUAUUGAAAGAAACAGGUGAGCUUUAAAUAAGGUUUGAAGGGUUACAUUGAGAAAAUCAGGCUUACAAUUGAUAAGCAAUAGAAUAGCACGUCAGUGUUGGACAGCAAGCUAGUGAGGGUUUUGCUGAGUACUUUGGAGAAGUAUUUGAAGUGUUUGUAUACCAAUACAUGCAGUAUGAAAAAUAAAUAAGAGGAG